AGAGUUUGAUCCUGGCUCAGGACGAACGCUGGCGGCGCGCUUAACACAUGCAAGUCGAGCGAGAACCAGUCCUUCGGGACUGGGGACAGCGGCGAACGGGUGAGUAACACGUGGGUAAUCUGCCCUCGAUUCUGGGAUAGCCCGGGGAAACCCGGAUUAAUACCGGAUAGCCUCUCGAGCUUACGAGCUCUUGAGAAAAGGUAGCUUCGGCCUCCGAUCGAGGAUGAGCCCGCGGCGGAUUAGCUUGUUGGUGGGGUAAUGGCCUACCAAGGCGACGAUCCGUAGCUGGUCUGAGAGGACGAUCAGCCACACUGGGACUGAGACACGGCCCAGACUCCUACGGGAGGCAGCAGUGGGGAAUCUUGCCCAAUGGACGAAAGUCUGAGGCAGCGACGCCGCGUGGGGGAAGAAGGCCUUCGGGUUGUAAACCUCUUUCAGCAGGGACGAAGCCACUCGGGUUAAUAGCCCAGAGGGUGACGGUACCUGCAGAAGAAGCCCCGGCUAACUACGUGCCAGCAGCGGCGGUAAUAC
rnacentral:rRNA from 1 species